CUGGACACAAUGAUACGCAGGUGUGGUCAAAGUCUACCAUAACUGUCACAAGACGUCCAGAGAGAAAUGUUACCUUCUGAUGACCACACUGUCGUCAAGUUUCCAGUGUGGACAGAUACGAGGUAUACAUUU